rnacentral:rRNA from 1 species
GAUACGGCCCAGACUCCUACGGGAGGCAGCAGUGGGGAAUAUUGCACAAUGGGCGCAAGCCUGAUGCAGCGACGCCGCGUGGGGGAUGACGGCCUUCGGGUUGUAAACUCCUUUCGCUAGGGACGAAGCUUUUUGUGACGGUACCUAGAUAAGAAGCACCGGCUAACUACGUGCCAGCAGCCGCGGUAAUACGUAGGGUGCGAGCGUUGUCCGGAAUUACUGGGCGUAAAGGGCUCGUAGGUGGUUUGUCGCGUCGUCUGUGAAAUUCCGGGGCUUAACUCCGGGCGUGCAGGCGAUACGGGCAUAACUUGAGUACUGUAGGGGUAACUGGAAUUCCUGGUGUAGCGGUGAAAUGCGCAGAUAUCAGGAGGAACACCGAUGGCGAAGGCAGGUUACUGGGCAGUUACUGACGCUGAGGAGCGAAAGCAUGGGUAGCGAACAGGAUUAGAUACCCUGGUAGUCCAUGCCGUAAACGGUGGGCGCUAGGUGUGAGGGUCUUUUCACGACUUUCGUGCCGUAGCUAACGCAUUAAGCGCCCCGCCUGGGGAGUACGGCCGCAAGGCUAAAACUCAAAGGAAUUGACGGGGGCCCGCACAAGCGGCGGAGCAUGUGGAUUAAUUCGAUGCAACGCGAAGAACCUUACCUGGGCUUGACAUAUAGAGGAUCGCUACAGAGAUGUGGUUUCCCUUGUGGCUUCUAUACAGGUGGUGCAUGGUUGUCGUCAGCUCGUGUCGUGAGAUGUUGGGUUAAGUCCCGCAACGAGCGCAACCC